GAUGAACGCUGGCGGCGUGCCUAAUACAUGCAAGUCGAGCGAACAGACGAGGAGCUUGCUCCUCUGACGUUAGCGGCGGACGGGUGAGUAACACGUGGAUAACCUACCUAUAAGACUGGGAUAACUUCGGGAAACCGGAGCUAAUACCGGAUAAUAUAUUGAACCGCAUGGUUCAAUAGUGAAAGACGGUUUUGCUUUCACUUAUAGAUGGAUCCGCGCCGCAUUAGCUAGUUGGUAAGGUAACGGCUUACCAAGGCGACGAUGCGUAGCCGACCUGAGAGGGUGAUCGGCCACACUGGACCUGAGACACGGUCCAGACUCCUACGGGAGGCAGCAGUAGGGAAUCUUCCGCAAUGGGCGAAAGCCUGACGGAGCAACGCCGCGUGAGUGAUGAAGGUCUUCGGAUCGUAAAACUCUGUUAUUAGGGAAGAACAAAUGUGUAAGUAACUAUGCACGUCUUGACGGUACCUAAUCAGAAAGCCACGGCUAACUACGUG
rnacentral:rRNA from 1 species